GCGUUGUCCGGAAUUAUUGGGCGUAAAGAGCUCGUAGGCGGUUCGUCGCGUCGGCUGUGAAAUCCCGGGGCUUAACUCCGGGUCUGCAGUCGAUACGGGCGGACUUGAGUUCGGUAGGGGAGACUGGAAUUCCUGGUGUAGCGGUGAAAUGCGCAGAUAUCAGGAGGAACACCGGUGGCGAAGGCGGGUCUCUGGGCCGAUACUGACGCUGAGGAGCGAAAGCGUG
rnacentral:rRNA from 1 species